ensembl:lncRNA
UUCUUCCUUGUCAACAUAUAAACGGCAUAAUAUUCUAAUAUGACUAGUCGUCGGUAAAUUAUCGCACUUAGUGCACAACUGUGCAUCGUAAGAAAGACCUGACACUUUAGUUAAAGGGGGAGGAGUGUGCAAGACUGGAGUUUGUGCUCAGGCACUUGGCGACGUGUCAGCGAGGGCGAAGAAGUGCAGCCGGACAGACAGAGGAGAGCUUAAUUUUGGCCAGGUCUGUGAAGCCAAACUUGAUGCUGGGGAUUUAUUUUUGUCAGUGGAGUCAAAUGGUUGAAGCAGAAUUUGCCCGUCUUACAUCUGUUGACCUGAAAGGGUUCCUUUUUGCUGUGCUUGACCAUUAUGGAGAGGUUCGUGGAGCUGUACAAAAUCAAGAGCGGCAUAGGAGGGCUAACUAGGCUCAUAAGAUGCUUCGGUGAUGAUAGCCCUACACAAAGGAAGAGGACAGAGGACCUCAUUUUCUAAAGGAAGAGCCCUCACACACUUUCAAGACUGUGAAGCCGACAGGUAUUGAAGACACGUUUUCUAAGAGGAUGAAAGUUGGCAUUGUGAUGGUGAAAGAAGAAGACAUCAUCGAUGUGUUGGUUGUCCUUGAGGCGGCAGUAAUCCUGUCUAAUCUGAGGGAUGUCUCAAGUGCCAUUUCCAUGCUGAUGGGUCCUAAUGAACAUUGGUCGAAGGCAGUGCAUCUCACUAGUGCAGGGGUCUGCAACCUUUUACACCCAAAGAGCCAUUUGGACCCGGUUUCCACGCAAAAGAAAACACUGGGAGCCGCAAAUACUUUUUGACAUCUAAAAUGAAGAUAACACUGUAUAUAUUGUUUUUUAUCUUUAUGCUUUGUGUGAACAACUAAGGUGUGCUGCUUAUGAAAUCCAUGAAGUGCUACAGAGAAAAUUAAAUUAUAUUUAUGUAAUCAACACAUUUUGAACUCUUAAAGAAAUAUAACAAAAGGAAAGACACCAACCUGAACUAAAAUGAUCCAUGUAGCAAACAAAAACUGUUGUCAGCCCCACCCUUAUAUCGCCUUGGGGCUGUUGGAGCCUUGACCUGACUCUUAAAAAAUAAUUGGAAAAAAAGCACUAUGCUGCUGAAAAAUGAAAAAUAGAUAUUUGCAAAAUUCUGCCUAAAUAUGUAUUUUACCUGGUUAAUGCGUGCGGCGGGGCGUGGUCUGCAGCGCCGCUGCAGGGGAGGCAGACGCACCUGAGCAACACCCGCAAUCAUGCCUCGCUACCUUUACGUCUGCGCUAUCUGUGCUGUUGUGUUGUUGGUGGUGUAUGUCGGGCUGUGAGCUGAAAAGCUACAGCCGGCUGUAUGCGUACAGCAACCGUGUGUGAAAAGUGGUCAAUAAAGAGAUGCUCAAAAGCGUGUUCAUGGAAACAUCGUCGGGUCUGCCGUGAUUUGUUUACAAUGGGACUUCUGCUCCUGAACCUCUGCGCACAGAGUCCGCAAAUCGGGGCUGUACGAAGUCAGUUUACGCAGGACUGUAAGCUGUCAUCUGUCAGGCGUGAACGGUGUUUGUCUUUAACAUAGUUCACGGUGGAGAACAGCUACUGACAUAAUGUGGAUCCGAAGAUCCAUAAUUGGCCUACCUGGGGUUGAAAGUCUUGAUAAAUG